rnacentral:rRNA from 1 species
CAACGCGAAGAACCUUACCUACUCUUGACAUCCAGAGAAUUCGCUAGAGAUAGCUUAGUGCCUUCGGGAACUCUGAGACAGGUGCUGCAUGGCUGUCGUCAGCUCGUGUUGUGAAAUGUUGGGUUAAGUCCCGCAACGAGCGCAACCCUUAUCCUUUGUUGCCAGCGCGUAAUGGCGGGAACUCAAAGGAGACUGCCGGUGAUAAACCGGAGGAAGGUGGGGAUGACGUCAAGUCAUCAUGGCCCUUACGAGUAGGGCUACACACGUGCUACAAUGGCGUAUACAAAGAGAAGCGAACUCGCGAGAGCCAGCGGACCUCAUAAAGUACGUCGUAGUCCGGAUCGGAGUCUGCAACUCGACUCCGUGAAGUCGGAAUCGCUAGUAAUCGUAGAUCAGAAUGCUACGGUGAAUACGUUCCCGGGCCUUGUACACACCGCCCGUCACACCAUGGGAGUGGGUUGCAAAAGAAGUAGGUAGCUUAACCUUCGGGAGGGCGCUUACCACUUUGUGAUUCAUGACUGGGGUGAAGUCGUAAC